GACGAACGCUGGCGGCGUGCCUAAUACAUGCAAGUCGAACGCAGUGGGGACGGGAGAGUAAAACGUGGGUAACCUCCCAUCAGAGGGGAUAACACUUGGAAACAGGUGCUAAACCGAUACUGAUGGAUGGACGCGCGGUGCCUUAGCUAGUCGUUGGGGUAACGGCUCACCAAGGCCACGAUGCAUAGGCGACCUGAGAGGGUGGUCGGCCACACUGGGACUGAGACACGGCCCAGACUCCAACGGUAGGCAGCAGUGGGGAAUCUUCGGCAAUGGACGAAAGUCUGACCGGGCAACGCCGCGUGAGUGAAGAAGGUUUUCGGAUCGUAAAACUCUGUUGUUAGAGAAGCGGUAUCUAACCAGAAAGCCACGGCUAACUACGUGCCAGCAGCCGCGGUAAUUC
rnacentral:rRNA from 1 species